UGGGGAAUAUUGCACAAUGGGCGCAAGCCUGAUGCAGCCAUGCCGCGUGUAUGAAGAAGGCCUUCGGGUUGUAAAGUACUUUCAGCGGGGAGGAAGGUGUUGUGGUUAAUAACCACAGCAAUUGACGUUACCCGCAGAAGAAGCACCGGCUAACUCCGUGCCAGCAGCCGCGGUAAUACGGAGGGUGCAAGCGUUAAUCGGAAUUACUGGACGUAAAGCGCACGCAGGCGGUAUGUCAAGUCGGAUGUGAAAUCCCCGGGCUCAACCUGGGAACUGCAUCCGAAACUGGCAGGCUUGAGUCUUGUAGAGGGGGGUAGAAUUCCAGGUGUAGCGGUGAAAUGCGUAGAGAUCUGGAGGAAUACCGGUGGCGAAGGCGGCCCCCUGGACAAAGACUGACGCUCAGGUGCGAAAGCGUGGGGAGCAAACA
rnacentral:rRNA from 1 species